UACGAAGGGGGCUAGCGUUGCUCGGAAUUACUGGGCGUAAAGGGCGCGUAGGCGGGUCGUUAAGUUGGGGGUGAAAGCCCAGGGCUCAACCCUGGAAUUGCCUUCAAUACUGGCGACCUUGAGUAUGGCAGAGGUGUGUGGAACUCCGAGUGUAGAGGUGAAAUUCGUAGAUAUUCGGAAGAACACCAGUGGCGAAGGCGACACACUGGGCCAUUACUGACGCUGAGGAGCGAAAGCGUGGGGAGCGAACAGG
rnacentral:rRNA from 1 species